AUCAGACUCAGGACAGAAACACACAACCUCUAAAAAAUGGAGCAAACUCUAUAUUUCAUUCUUCUUCUCAUUGCUCUCUGCUCCGUAUCUGAAUGUGUUCAGCGUCAGUAUCACUUUAUAAACGUGAUGAAGACCUGGACUGAAGCUCAGAGAUACUGCAGAGAGAAAUACACAGAUCUGGCCACCGUUGACAACAUGAACGACAUGAAAGAGC